AUUGAACGCUGGCGGCAGGCUUAACACAUGCAAGUCGAGCGGAGUGAUGGUGCUUGCACUAUCACUUAGCGGCGGACAGGUGAGUAAUGCUUAGGAAUCUGCCUAUUAGUGGGGGACAACAUCUCGAAAGGGAUGCUAAUACCGCAUACGUCCUACGGGAAAAAGCAGGGGAUCGCUUGUGACCUUGCGCUAAUAGAUGAGCCUAAGUCGGAUUAGCUAGUUAGUGGGGUAAAGGCCUACCAAGGCGACGAUCUGUAGCGGGUCUGAGAGGAUGGUCCGCCACACUGGGACUGAGACACGGCCCAGACUCCUACGGGAGGCAGCCGUGGGGAAUAUUGGACAAUGGGGGGAACCCUGAUCCAGCCAUGCCGCGUGUGUGAAGAAGGCCUUAUGGUUGUAAGGCACUUUAAGCGAGGAGGAGGCUCUUUUGGUUAAUACCCAAGAUGAGUGGACGUUACUCGCAGAAUAAGCACCGGCUAACUCUGUGCCAGCCGCCGCUGUAAGAC
rnacentral:rRNA from 1 species